CCGGAAGCGCCGCUCCCGCCUGCGAGUGUGAGCUUCCAUGUGGUGGGGAACCGCGCUGCGCGGCAGGGGUGCGGCCCAGUCUUGCCGCAGAGCCCGGAGCUGGGAGGGAAGGCCGGCUGUGCCCGGGACACCCCCUGCCCUCUGUCCGGAUACCGUGCCGCGGGCUGUGCCUGCCAGGACAGAUUCCAUCUCACCAUGAACCACUGACAUCAAACUUGUGAAGCAUUUCCAUUGAAUCGUUGGAAGGACUUCAUGUUCAGAUAGGGUUUGGAGAUGGGUGUGCUGGAACUUCUCUGCUGGGCUCCCGAAUUUCCACAAAGGCCCUCUCAUGCUGGAUGAUUGUCUAAUCAGUGUUCUUUGAGAGGAAGACAGUAGAAAAGUAUCCUGGCAUGUUGAUGAAGUCUGUUUCUUCAGAAAGUAAUCUUUUUUUAUAAUAACAGUUGGAGCCCUUUCACAGGAAGGCAAGAAAGAGGGCAUGAAGGGAAGGUUUUAUGUUUGACUGCAUGAAAAUUUUAAGUAAAAGAUCCAGGAAAACCUGAGAAGUCUGCUAUAGA